AUUGAACGCUGGCGGCAUGCUUUACACAUGCAAGUCGAACGGUAACAGGCCUUCGGGUGCUGCCGGGUGGCGAACGGGUGAGUAAUGCACCGGAACGUACCCAGUGGUGGGGGAUAACGCAGCGAAAGCUGUGCUAAUACCGCAUGUGCUCUGAGGUUGAAAGCGGGGGACCGAGCAGCAAUGUUUGGCCUCGUGCUUUUGUAGCGGCCGAUGUCGGAUUAGCUAGUUGGCGGGGUAAAGGCCUACCAAGGCGACGAUCCGUAGCUGGUCUGAGAGGACGACCAGCCACACUGGGACUGAGACACGGCCCAGACUCCUACGGGAGGCAGCAGUGGGGAAUUUUGGACAAUGGGCGCAAGCCUGAUCCAGCAAUGCCGCGUGCGGGAAGAAGGCCUUCGGGUUGGAAACCGCUUUUGGCAGGAACGAAACGGUGUCCGCUAAUACCGGGCGCUAAUGACGGUACCUGCAGAAUAAGCACCGGCUAACUACGUG
rnacentral:rRNA from 1 species